GCGCCGGCUUAGCUCAGUGGUUACUUCACUCAACUGCGCAUGAGUCGGGGUUCUCGAAUCUCGGUCUCCAACCACGGGCGCUGCCCGGCGUUUUA
ensembl:vault_RNA Vault Vault RNA